AGGUUGUUAGUGUGUGUUGUGUUUUAGUUAUAGGUUGUAACUGUGUGUUGUUUUCAAUUUUUUGGGCAAUAAAAUUAAAUCUGAAAGCCCUAAUUGACUUCAGUCUCAAUUCUCUGCCGAACCCUAAUCGAAUCUCACUCUCUGCAGAUCGUCAAUUCUCAUUCCGAGUCUCGACUUCUCAGUUCUCAGCCUAUCUCUGUGUCUCUAGACUCGACUCUCUGUUGAUGUCUCUCUCUCGGUCAAGGACAAGGUACUAAAAUUUAUUCAGACCAACAAGAUGGAGCUGAUGGUGGAAUAGCCACAGCAUAGUGUUGGGAGUGAGGGGUCGAGCUUUCCACAUAAAAUUUUAGAGGAUUCAAGUCAGACAAAAACUGUCUUCUCCCACGAACAAUAUGACAAUGAAACAGAGGUUGCUGAAUCAAUAAGUGUAUAUUUUCCCUGCGUUUUUGACGUUUGCAUAGACGUGCAACUGAUCAACUUGAGGUCGUGGCAAGAACAAGAAGGAAGACCUCUACGUAAUUUGUUUUUAAGUUUGAUUUCAGUUUGGACAAGAACUUAUUUUUCUGUGUUGUUUGUUGUUCUUUAGAACUUAAGAUUAUUGCGUGGUGUUUAUUGAAACUUAAAUUCAUAUAUGUUGUUUAAACUUAAGACUUCUAUUAUGUUUAUCAGUCAUUUUUUGUGA